rnacentral:rRNA from 1 species
UACCAGCUCUCCGAGUGGUAGGGAUGAUUAUUGGGCUUAAAGCGUCCGUAGCCGGCUUAGCAAGUCUCCUGUUAAAUUCAGCGACCUAAUCGUUGAGCCGCGGGAGACACUACUAGGCUAGGAGGCGGGAGAGGCCGACGGUAUUCUCGGGGUAGGGGUGAAAUCCUAUAAUCCCGGGAGGACCACCAGUGGCGGAGGCUGUCGGCUAGAACGCGCUCGACGGUGAGGGACGAAAGCUGGGGGAGCGAACCGGAUUAGAUACCCGGGUAGUCCCAGCUGUAAACGAUGCGGGCUAGGUGUUGGGGUGGCUACGAGCCACUUCAGUGCCGCAGGGAAGCCAUUAAGCCCGCCGCCUGGGGAGUACGGCCGCAAGGCUGAAACUUAAAGGAAUUGGCGGGGAGCACCACAAGGCGUGAAGCUUGCGGUUC